UAUACACAUGUGCUCCCCCUUCUCAGCAGAUAGCAGGUUUAGGGCCCUUUGGUUUUGGAGGGCGACUCCCGCAAGGGAAUUUAUCUGCCUUUGGAGGCUUGUAAUGGAAGUACGCAUGUCCUCUAGGAUAUUAGAGAGGACUGUAGAGAUUUUUUAUAUAGGGUAGUUGAGGUUGAUGUAUUUGCUAUUCUGGUAGCAAGUGCAGCAGAGAUAUUUAUUCCUGUUUCCAGAGGAAUGAGAUGUAGAGCCCUCAUAGCACACGUAGGGGAAGAUGAGACAGAAGUUACUAAAGGAACCUGGAUGGCCUGGUUGUUUGGCAAAAUGUUCAUGUUUGAAGAUUGACAAACCAGGGUGCACGUUCCUGACCCAUCGGCCAGUAGGCAAGAUAAGAGUUUGCGCCACACAGAAAAGACUGGAGGUUGACAAGCAAAAGUUAUAAGUGAAGGUCACAAACCAUGAAAAGGUGGGGGUUGAAUCCUGGAAAAAAUUUUUGGCCCAACCUUUUUGUUUUUUCUAGGUUGAAUAGCUAUUAACAAUUGUAGCCACUAUGAGAGCCUGAUAGGGAAUGUUGGCCAGGAAGGAGGCGAAGGCUGUUUGGCCUUGUAGAGAGAGAGAUAAAAGGGUUUUUGUUAACUAAUAGCCAAUGCAGUCCUGAUAGGGCAGAAGGAUGUAGGCUGCAGUUGAGGGAAUUGUUUGUGCAUUUUUUUCCAGGAAGCAUCUGCGAGUUGGAUACAUGGAGUGCAGCUUCAGCAGAGAGGGGAGAGAUUGAGACAAGGUCUUACUUCAUCACCCAGCUUGGAGUUCAGUGGCAUAAUUGCAGCUCACUGCAACCUUCACCUUCCAGGUUCAAGUGGUCUUCCCACCUCAGGCUCCCAAAUAUCUGGGACCACAGGUAUGUACCACUAUGCCCUGCUAUAGAGAUGAAAUCUUACUAUGCUUCUCAGGCUGGUCUCAAACUCCCAGGUUCAAGCCGUCCUCCUGUCUUGGCCUCCCAAAGUGCUGGGAUUAGAGGUGUGAGCCAUUGCAAUCAACCUUCAAUUCCUUUUUAUUUCAUCUUCUAAAAUUAUGUUUGACAGAGUAGGAGCAUAGCUGUCUUGGACAAGCACUGCCAUUUCAAAGUUCCCCUUGAUCAAAAACUGCCUAAAUCUAAAGGGCAUCAGCCUAAUAGCUAAAGUCAGCGUGGCCGUAAACCACAAAUUACAUCUCCAACCAGAAACAUUCCAACCCUAAGAUAAAUCCCUCCCCAACCAGAGGGACACCCUCCCUGUUUGGGUGAGGCUUACAAUGUGGGCCCCUCACCAUCACAGGAGGAAAUCUCUUCACUGCUGCUGCUGACAAUAGAAGACUGAGGGUGUCCGGGAUCCUUUGCCCUCACGUCCAGUGAGUCCACAGAAACUACAGUGAUUGGGAUCGUGUCUGGUAAGAUUAUUUCCUUCCUGUUGGAUACUGGUGUGAGCCUAUUGUAACUGAAUAUCAAUUCCCAUUAGAACACUCAUCUGUUUCUGUUGUUGGCUUGAAAGGCAUACAAGUAACCCCAUACAAAACACUGCCACUAUACUGCACAUUUGAGGGAAUCACCCCCACUCACUCUCUCUUGGUCAUUCCCCACUGUCCCAUUCCUUUACUAGGAAGGGACAUCUUACACAAACUAGGGGGAAUCAUUUAUUUAUUAGCCCUACAUCGAAGCCACCCAUACUUAUUAUUACGUCAAGAACAAAACCCCUCCUCAGAAACUCCACGGCAAAUUGACUUAAAUCCCAAAUUCCUCAGCCAGCUAAAUCCCCUUGUAUGGAAGACUGACUCCUCCAUAAUAGCUACUCUUCAUUCUCCAAAUCAAAUUUCACUGAAGGACUCUAAGUGCUACAUAGUGGUCCCAUCAUAUCCCCUCAACCCUAAUGGAUUAUGGGGAAUCAAGCCCAUCAUCUCCUGACUUUUGGCCGUCAAUAUUUUAAUCCCCAUCCAUUCUCCACACAUUACCCCUAUUCUCCCUUUAAAAACCUGGAUGGUUCCUAUAGACUGGUUCAGGAUUUGCAACAAAUCAGCUCCUCCAUUGUUCCUGUUUCUCCUGUUCUCUCAAACCCUUAUGCCUCCUAUCAUGAAUUCUUCCCAACAGUAGCCAUUUCUCUAUAUUAGACCUCAAGGAUACCUUUUUUACUAUUUCUUUACAUCCUUCCUCUGAAAACCUAUUUGCUUUCACUUGGACUGACCCUGACACAGCUACUCCCAACAACUCACCUGGACUAUCGCCUCCCACGAGUUUGGAGACAGCCCUCACUAUUUCAGUCAGGCACUUCAAUUAGAUCUUUCCCAACUACCUCUACCACCUAGCAUUUUGCUUCAAUUCAUAGAUGAUUUACUUCUUUACAGCCCUUCUCUAGGACAUUAUAUUCAACAUACCACCAGGCUUUAAAUUUUUUGGCUGAAUCCAGGUACUGGGUACCGAAAGGAAGGCCCAAUUAACCUCUCCAAAAGUCUCAUACCUACAAUUAAUCAUAACUCCAAAUAACUGAGAAAUUUCACCCAGACAAAAGCAAGACAUUCAACAAAUCUCAUUUCCUGAAACCAAAAGAGACUUACUGUCUUUCCUCGAGUUAGGGAAAUAUUUCUAAUAGCAAUUUUUGCUAUUACCGCUAAACCCUUUUAUGAACACACAAAAGAAAAUCUUGACUAACCACUCAUUUCAACUUCAGACCUUUACCAUGCUUUCUCUCAUCUAAAAUGUGCGUUAUUACGGGCCCCUGCAUUAGGCCUUCCAACCCCCCUGAGACUCUUUCAUCUAUAUUUACACAUUUCUCAUAAUCAGGCCCUUUGACUAUUAGCCCCACCCAUGGGACAUUCCCUCCAACAAUUGGCAUACUUUUCAAAACAACUAGAUCCCAUUUACAAAAGCUGGCCCCUUUGCUUAAAAAUUUUGGCCACAGCAUCUCUGAUUAUCCCAGAGGCACAAAAAUUCACGUACUUCGAAUCCCUUCAGGUAUUUUCUUCUCACAGUCUGAAAGAUAAGUCUCAGCCAUAAAGCACUCGCCUCCAUCUCAUCCUUUCAUGUGCAAGCCUUACGUUCAACUCUCCUUCAACCCUCUGUCUCUCUUCAUAGAUGCUUCCCCCCAAUCCCACCAUUCUUUUUUUCUAAACAUCAAUUUUGUACCAUGGACAACACUCAUGUUCUGAUUUAAUUGAAAGGUCUCUCACCAUGUCUCACCACCUUACUUCCACUCACAUAAGGGGAGCUCCGGAUUGGUUUAUAGGUGGUAGUGGAUCAUAAAACCCUCCCCUCCAAGCAGAAUAUGCCAUCAUUGAAGGAUGUCAUGAUAAUACGCACUCUAGAAGAGUCACAGAGGCUGCCCCCUUGCCCUUGGGCACAUCCUCCCAACCAGCAGAAUUAGUUGCCCUAAUAAGAGCACUAACCCUAGCAAAAAGAACACACAAGUUAAAUAUACACCAAUUCUAAGUAUGCCAAUAACAUCAUCCAUUCCAAUGCCCAAAUUUGGAGUGAGUAGGGCUACCUCGUGGCUAAGAGAACUCCUAUCAUUAAUGAAAAAUUAAUCCAUUAUUUACUAAAGGCAGCCUUACUUCUAGAAAAGUUUGCAGUUAUCCAUUGCAAAGAACAUAAAUGAGUAAAAGCCACAUUUCUGUAGGGAAUUGUAAGGCUGAUUAUUGGGCAAAACAUGCCUCAACCAAUCAUUCAAUCCCCCAAUACGAUUUCUCCUCAUACAACAUAUUCCCUCCUUUAUCCAGAAUACCAAAUACAACUAGUCAUGGCAAGGACACAAUUCAAACCCCCACGCUAGUUCAUACAAAACAAAUUAGUCAUACCUGACCCUGAAGAAACAACUCUUUUAUGGCACAUUCACAACCUCUUCCACACUAGCCGUUCCCCUCCAAAAAGUUUUGUAAGUUCACAUAUACACAUAAUCCCAGAUAUAAAGGAACAGCUAAAAGCCAUUCCAAUAAAUGUUCUAUUUGCCAAAAAGCUUCACCCCAUCCAACACUAGACCCCUUUCUUUCCCAACCCAUCAAGCUAGGGGACACUUUCCAGGUGAGCACUGGCAAAUUGAUUUUACCCAUAAAAAGUAAACACGGUUUGAUUUCUUCUACUUCUGGUCGUUACAUUUUAGGGAUAGGUUGAGGCUUUUCCCACAACCAACAAACGGGCUUCUACUGUCACCUCCAAAUUAAUAACAGAAAUUAUACCCAUGUUUGAGGUGCCUCUUUCUCUUCAAUCCAAUAGUGGUCCUGAAUUCAUCUCUCAGAUUUCUCAAACACUUGCACAAGCUCUACGAAUCACCCAGAAGCCACACAUCCUCCAUCAACCUCAAUCUUCAUGAAAGGUUGAAAAACUAAAUGUCAUUCUAAAAACACCCUUACUGGAUACUCACUCCAAAUGCAUAAAGACUGGGUUAUACUUUUAAUUUUGGCCCUUCUAAAAAUUCAGGCACUCCCAGGUAAACCCGUAGUGAU
ensembl:lncRNA